CACAGCUCCUGCAGAAUCGCGCUUCGGCCUCGCAGGCGACGCACGGGCGUUGUGCGACGUUGCGCCAUCGCUUCCACCGUUUCCCCAAGCGACAGACUGAAUGUCAUGCGGCACUUUUCUCCUCGGUAUGAUCGGAAAGCCGAAGUCUCCAGUGGAAGGAGAAACAGCCGAUGACUUCGAUCUAAAAAGGCAGCAGCCGUCAAGGACCAGGCCGAUAGCGGGUGACUAAGUCCGUUAGUGGCGCCACGUCGCCCACGCAGGGUGCGCGCCGGAGUGACACGGCCGAGGCUGAUGCAGACCCGAGCAGCGUCACCAGGCCGUCCGGUCUUUUCGACGACAACUACGCCCCUCGCCCACAGCUGUCACUGCAUAUUGCCGUCGAGUGUCGACGCCAGAUAUCCGGCCACAAUCGACGCAGACGCGGUCUACGAGGGCCGCCCGCGGAGAGAGAGAAUGCGCGAUCCACGCUGAUGCGCGCUGACAAAGAACACCUUGCGCGAAGCGAGAGCGCCACUGAUGACAACACGCGGAUUGAGCGAUGGGGAAACGCGCACGCCGAGCUCAAUGCAGGCCGAGCAGAGAGACGAAGCCGAGCGGCUUUUUUUCCUCGUUCAACCUUUUCUCUCUCUCUUCCUCUCUCUCUCCCCUUCAUUUCGGUAUUUGCGCUUUGAGACCGCUCACCUCCAGAGCGGUAUACGCGCGCGCUCAGAGGAAGCUGGCGCCAUCUGGAGAAAUACACGAGAAGCGAUAGCAGCGCGUGAGGUGCGCGGUGAGUUCGCGUGGAGCAUUGGGUCGGUUACCCUCCGCCUCCCUGGCUGUACUGUUUUCGGUUUCUACUUUAUU
rnacentral:lncRNA from 1 species